GACGAACGCUGGCGGCGUGCCUAACACAUGCAAGUCGAACGGAGAUGUUGAUUUCGGUUGACGUCUUAGUGGCGAACGGUGAGUAACGCGUGAACAAUCUGACCUUAAGAGGGGGAUAACAACGAGAAAUCGUUGCUAAUACCGCAUAAGACCACAAUGCCGCAUGGCGAAGGGGUCAAAGGAGCAAUCCGCUUAAGGAGGGGUUCGCGUCCCAUUAGGUAGUAGGUGAGGUAACGGCCCACCUAGCCGACGAUGGGUAGCCGAGCUGAGAGGCUGAUCGGCCACACUGGAACUGAGACACGGUCCAGACUCCUACGGGAGGCAGCAGUGGGGAAUAUUGGGCAAUGGGCGCAAGCCUGACCCAGCAACGCCGCGUGAGGGAAGAAGGUUUUCGGAUUGUAAACCUCUGUCGCAGAUGACGAAACAAAUGACGGUAAUCUGUGAGGAAGCCCCGGCUAACUACGUGCCAGCAGCCGCGGUAAU
rnacentral:rRNA from 1 species